GCCCCUUACGCUCUGGGCGACACACGUACUACAAUGGUCGGGACAGAGGGCAGCUAACCUGCGAAGGCAAGCUAAUCCCAGAAACUCGGCCUCAGUUCAGAUCGCAGGCUGCAACUCGCCUGCGUGAAGGAGGAAUCGCUAGUAAUCGCCGGUCAGAAUACGGCGGUGAAUCCGUUCCCGGGCCUUGUACACACCGCCCGUCACACCAUGGAAGCUGGCCACGCCCGAAGUCGUUACCCUAACCUUUAGGGGAGGGGGACGCCGAAGGCAGGGUUGGUGACUGGGGUGAAGUCGUAACAAGGUAGCCGUACCGGAAGGUGUGGCUGGAUCACCUCCUUUUU
rnacentral:rRNA from 1 species